UCGCGCCGCAAGGUGAGGAAAGUCCGAGCUCCAUAGGGCAGGGUGCCAGAUAACGUCUGGUGGAGGCGACUCUAAGGAUAGUGCAACAGAAAUAAACCGCCGUAAGGUAAGGGUGGAAAGGCGAGGUAAGAGCUCACCGCUUGUUUGGUAACAAACAGGGCAAAUGUAAACCCCACUUGGAGCAAGACCGUAAAGAACAAACGAAAGUUAACAGCUGCCCGCUGUGUUCUUGGUUGGUCGCUUGAUCCUAUUGGUGACAAUAGGACUAGAUAGAUGAUCGUUCACGACAGAACUCGGCUUAUCGGCUUGGUCA
rnacentral:RNase_P_RNA from 1 species